rnacentral:rRNA from 1 species
ACGCUCGACACCUACGGGGGCAGCAGUGGGGAAUAUUGCACAAUGGGGGAAACCCUGAUGCAGCAACGCCGCGUGAAGGAAGACGGUUUUCGGAUUGUAAACUUCUGUUCUUAGUGAAGAUAGUGACGGUAGCUAAGGAGCAAGCCACGGCUAACUACGUGCCAGCAGCCGACGGUAAUCUGAGGCGGGCUGGACGAAGGC